UACGUAGGAGGCGAGCGUUGUCCGGAGUUACUGGGCGUAAAGGGUGCGCAGGCGGCCCGUUAAGUGGCGUGUGAAAUCUCCUGGCUCAACUGGGAGGGUGGGCGCCAAACUGGGGGGGCUUGAGGCUCGGAGGGGGGCGUGGAAUUCCGGGUGGAGCGGUGAAAUGCGUAGAGAGUCGGGAGGAACAUCAGUGGCGAAGGCGGCCAUCUGGGACACACUGACGCUGAAGCACGAAAGCGUGGGGAGCAAACAGG
rnacentral:rRNA from 1 species